rnacentral:rRNA from 1 species
AUGGUAGAGGUACUCGUGAUAUUGGCGAUGGUAGUCGUUUCCGUUUGUUCGGAGAGGUACUUAAUGACUCUAAGCCCUUCGCAAUCGACGAUAGUUGAACUUGAAGCUUGCAGUGCCCAUGUCUUCAUCGACGGUAGUGAUACACUAGUCGGAGAGGGACUUGGCGAAAAUCCCAGUCUCAGGUUCUGUAGUCGUUCACAGGGCCCAACACAGGGUCUUGGCGAAACCGGGGUGCAUCUUGGCGGUCUCGUCUCGGUCUUCAAUCCAAAACGAAGCAAUGCAAAAGACUCGGUGCAGUGGUACUUGGUGAACCGAAACAUGCAGCACCAGACGGUCUUGGCGGUCAACGACGGGAGGCGGGCAGCGAAGCAGCAGCAACGUGCGGGCACUGUACAGCCACGGCGGGCACCAUGGCCGUGA